UAGGGAAUCUUCGGCAAUGGGGGGAACCCUGACCGAGCAACGCCGCGUGAGUGAAGAAGGUUUUCGGAUCGUAAAGCUCUGUUGUUAAGGAAGAACGAGUGUGAGAAUGGAAAGUUCAUACUGUGACGGUACUUAACCAGAAAGGGACGGCUAACUACGUGCCAGCAGCCGCGGUAAUACGUAGGUCCCGAGCGUUGUCCGGAUUUAUUGGGCGUAAAGCGAGCGCAGGCGGUUAGAUAAGUCUGAAGUUAAAGGCAGUGGCUCAACCAUUGUAGGCUUUGGAAACUGUGUAACUUGAGUGCAGAAGGGGAGAGUGGAAUUCCAUGUGUAGCGGUGAAAUGCGUAGAUAUAUGGAGGAACACCGGUGGCGAAAGCGGCUCUCUGGUCUGUUACUGACGAUGAGGCUCGAAAGCGUGGGGAGCGAACAGG
rnacentral:rRNA from 1 species